rnacentral:rRNA from 1 species
UACGUAGGGGGCAAGCGUUGUCCGGAAUCAUUGGGCGUAAAGCGCGUGUAGGCGGCUUGGUAAGUCUGCUCUGAAAGCCCGGGGCUCAACCCCGGGAGGCGGGUGGAUACUGUCAAGCUCGAGUCCGGAAGAGGCGAGUGGAAUCCUGGUGUAGCGGUGGAAUGCGCAGAUAUCAGGAGGAACACCAAUAGCGAAGGCAGCUCGCUGGGACGGUAUUGACGCUAAGGCGCGAAAGCGUGGGGAGCAAACAGG